UAGCUCAAUUGGUAGAGCAACUGAUUUGUAAUCAGUGGCAUAUUCCAAUUAAAGCUUAUAUUAUCUA
rnacentral:tRNA from 1 species